rnacentral:rRNA from 1 species
AUUGAACGCUGGCGGCAUGCUUUACACAUGCAAGUCGAACGGCAGCGCGGGCUUCGGCCUGGCGGCGAGUGGCGAACGGGUGAGUAAUACAUCGGAACGUGCCCAGUAGUGGGGGAUAGCUCGGCGAAAGCCGGAUUAAUACCGCAUACGACCUGAGGGUGAAAGCGGGGGAUCUUCGGACCUCGCGCUAUUGGAGCGGCCGAUGGCAGAUUAGCUAGUUGGUGGGGUAAAGGCCUACCAAGGCGACGAUCUGUAGCUGGUCUGAGAGGACGACCAGCCACACUGGAACUGAGACACGGCCCAGACUCCUACGGGAGGCAGCAGUGGGGAAUUUUGGACAAUGGGCGAAAGCCUGAUCCAGCAAUGCCGCGUGUGUGAUGAAGGCCUUCGGGUUGUAAAGCACUUUUGGCGGGAAAGAAAAGGACUGUGCCAAUACCACGGUUCGAUGACGGUACCCGCAGAAUAAGCACCGGCUAACUACGUG